rnacentral:rRNA from 1 species
AACGAACGCUGGCGGCAUGCCUAACACAUGCAAGUCGAACGAGACCUUCGGGUCUAGUGGCGCACGGGUGCGUAACGCGUGGGAACCUGCCCUUAGGUUCGGAAUAACUCCCCGAAAGGGGUGCUAAUACCGGAUAAUGUCUUCGGACCAAAGAUUUAUCGCCUUUGGAUGGGCCCGCGUUGGAUUAGCUAGUUGGUAGGGUAAAAGCCUACCAAGGCGACGAUCCAUAGCUGGUCUGAGAGGAUGAUCAGCCACACUGGGACUGAGACACGGCCCAGACUCCUACGGGAGGCAGCAGUCUUGAAUAUUGGACAAUGGGCGAAAGCCUGAUCCAGCAAUGCCGCGUGAGUGAUGAAGGCCUUAGGGUUGUAAAGCUCUUUUACCCGGGAUGAUAAUGACAGUACCGGGAGAAUAAGCUCCGGCUAACUCCGUG